GAGCAGCCAAUCAGCGUCCCCGCGGCUCCCGGGUAUAACUCCUCCGCGGAAGCGCCGGGACUCAGAUGGUCCCCCCGACGCCGAGGAUGCGGGUCCUGAGGCCCCCCCACCCUCCUCCUGCUGCUCUCGGGGGCGCUGGUCCUGACCCCCAGCUGGGCCGGCCCCCACUCCCUGAUGUAUUUCCUCACCGCCGUGUCCCGGCCCGGCCGCGGGGAGCCCCGCUUCCUCGCCUUCGGCUACGUGGACGACACGCAGUUCGUGCGGUUCGACAGCGACGCCCCGAAUCCGAGGAUGGAGCCGCGGGCGCCGUGGAUGCAGCAGCCGUGGGUGGAGCGGGAGAGGCCGGGGUAUUGGGAGGAGCAGACGCUGAGGGCCAAGGGAGACGCACAGACUUUCCGAAUGGAAUUGCAGACCGCCCUCGGCUACUACAACCAGAGCGAGGACGGGUCUCACACCAUCCAGAGCA